UCCAGCAAACAAACUCACCGUGUGCUUUCAUCAGGCAGCAGCGUACCAUAAAAAAUGACUGGUGCGGCCUGCACAGCAGCAAGCUGGAGUCAGCAUUCAGCAUUGAGGGUCAGAGUCUAUCGCAGGAUGCUAUCACAGAAUGAUGCAGAGGGGGGCGGAUUUGGUGUCCCAACCAUUUGCAUUUCGAGAGGGUGUUUUACAGGAUUCCACAUACACCCCCAAUCCCUGCUGAAGACACACUCAGACAUUCACUGUGCAACAUCUUAAGAUAGAAGAUGAAGACAGGCAAGCUGGACAAAAAAGGCACAAAUAUCACCGCAGACAGGCAAGAGAAAUCAAGGGGAAUGGAGCUAGGAGAACUCACCGUGGGAAGCUGAGGUCAUGUUAGUGGUGGCGUUAGCCUGAACCAGAGCCUCUGGCCAACGCUUGGCUUCUAUCACCCCCGACUCUGGUGGCUGUUCAACAUUCUCAGAAACAUCUUCACAUGAAAUCUAAUCUCUCUCUCUUUAAUUCCUCUGAUUUGUGGCUGUAACUGUGGUUUUGGAGAGAGGAGAGUCCGGGGCUGAUUCCAUGAGGUUAAUGUUGAACCAUAACCGCAACCACUCGCUCUUCGCUUCUUCUCAGUGUUGACCACAAUGCUUCUCUCCUACUGUCUGAGCUGUCAGUCAUCUGUCUUCCUAUCUUCCCUCCAAACACACACACACAGUGUUACUAUUGAUGCUGGACAGCCUGGGUGUGUUUGGAAAUCUAUAUGCAGGAUUUUGUAGCCAGACUGGGUCAAGUGGACAUUGUUCUGAGGCCAGACAAACAGGCUGAUGUACACACUGAGCCAAGCGAAAGGAUACACACUACAUUCACCUUGAUCUGUCUUUACCGUUCUCUGCACACACACACACGCACACACACAUUGAGAGACACUGAUGUAUAAGCCAAUGCCAGAGGCAGCGUAACAACAUCAAAGAUUGAACGAGUUGCGGCGUGAGGAAAUUGCUGCCCCACCUCGGUCUGGUGAGAUGACAUCAGACGGUAGAUGGGUGACAGGGCCUAGA